rnacentral:rRNA from 1 species
AGAAUCAACGCUGGCGGCGUGCCUAACACAUGCAAGUCGCACGAGAAAGGGGCUUCGGCUCUGAGUAAAGUGGCGCACGGGUGAGUAACACGUGAAUUAUCUACCUCCGAGUGGGGAAUAACUGAGAGAAAUCUUAGCUAAUACCGCAUAACACUUACGGGUCAAAGCAGCAAUGCGCUUGGAGAGGAGUUCGCGGCCGAUUAGUUAGUUGGCGGGUAAUGGCCCACAAGACGAUGAUCGGUA